UACGGAGGGUGCAAGCGUUGUUCGGAAUCAUUGGGCGUAAAGCGCGUGUAGGUGGCUUGGCAAGUCGGUUGUGAAAUCCCGGGGCCCAACCCCGGAACUGCAUUCGAAACUGCCUCGCUAGAGUCCCGGAGAGGAAGGCGGAAUUCCCGGUGUAGAGGUGAAAUUCGUAGAUAUCGGGAGGAACACCAGCGGCGAAGGCGGGUUGCUGGGCCGACACUGACGCUGAGGCGCGAAAGCUAGGGGAGCGAACGGG
rnacentral:rRNA from 1 species